GAACACGCCACCGCGCGCCUGCGACUCCAGGUGAGAGUUGCAGCGUGUCAGUCUGGCGACUUAGCGUGGCGCGCGAGCUCGGGCACAAUACCUCCCUCUAGCCCAAACUUUAACGAGAGUUUUGAUGGCCGAGGGCUGCUGAGAAAAGUGAAGAGAGGUAAAGAGAGAGGGUCGCCCUUUGGAAACGUCAUCAGAACGCACCGGAAGCGGCUGGAGGAUGAAGAGUGUGGUCUACCAUGCCUUUUCUCAGAAAGAGGCCAAAGAGUUCAAUGUUCAGAUACAGUGGAUGGCAGGAAGUCUGGGAGCAGCAGAGUUGAUGACAAGGAUGGCUUGAUCCCCAGCACUGCGUUAGAUGUCCUUCCCAUGUCUUACUUCUCAUCCUUCCAGUAGAUGUGUUGGGCUCCGUUGAAAUCUGCUGUUCUGACAGCCUAUUUCCAGAUGCUGGCCUUUCUCCCUUGUUUGAUUAACUGAAACCUCUUGAUCGUGUGUCCUCUCCCAUUGUGUAGGGGACACUGGCUAUGCCCACCUGAAACCUGCCCUGCUGAGCUCUGUUAUUUGACUUUGUCACUGCGUACCCUUCACUCUUGAAGAGGCCAGGUGAUCACAUUUCCUAAGUGGAAUUUCUGGAUUAUAUCUGGAUGCUGCCAACAUGCUUUGUCAGUUUGGCAGAAGCUCCACUGGGGACUCCUAAUGAGGGAGUUAACAGGAAAUCAAGAUUUUGAAAAACUGAUACACUUUUAUUUGGUUUCUUCAUGAACAAGGCCACUUAGGUAUUUUUAAAAAGUAAGUAAUUGCCAUGUCACAGUAAUAAUACUGACGAUAAUGAAUCUUUAGUUAGUAUCUAAGGUGCAAAGUCAAAGCUGACUGCCCUCCUGACUGUGAGCUGCCUUGAAGGUCGAGUGUAUCACAUCAUCCCUUCACUGCCCGCUUCUCCAUAAGGGAGAGCGUGAUUAUUGACACAUUAGCUUCCCAGGGUUUACAGCCUUCUUAGUGCAGCAGGGGGUCAGGAAAUCCCCAGCCAAGAGGCAGGACCUGCAUAGACACUGCCUGGGCUGUGGCCGACCUAGGACGCAGGCAGCUGAAUGAGGAGUAGACCAGUGGAACUCCCUACGUGAAAGGCAGUGACAUUUGAAGUUCUCUCAAGAAUUUCACACUAUUAACGCAGUUCUUUUGCCCACAUGUCCUAGGAGUCUGUGCUGAGUCACGGUCAAGUUCCGUUGUGCUCUUGGGAGAGAGUGAGCUCAGGAGGCUGAGAUGCAUUGGUACUUUCUUCUGCAGCUAAGUGCUGCAGGAGAAGACUUAGCGAGUAGCCAUGACACAUCCAUGGGGUCAAACCCAAGUAAAGGGGAUUACCACAUGGGCACCAUGUCAUUCCUGCCCCCAAGGUGUGGCCCACCCUGGGGCACCAGGUGGUACUGUUUUCACAAGUGUUCAGAUAAUUCCUUCGAGGCCAUAGCUUGCCUUCAUCUGGUCGUGACUGAAUAAAUAUUGUUAGCAUACAUUUCUCAAGCUUUCCACCCUGCCAAGGAUCUAAGAAGUCUUUCCUUCCUAAUGUUAAGGGAUUUGGGCUUUUUUCUUUGUAAUCCCUUCACAAUAACCUCAGAGAUGUAUAGUAGGAAGUUGAAUUUUGACGUGGCUGUUUUGUGCAGCGUCUGAAUUGGUAUUUGAGGGUGACUUUCACAUCUGGACAGCUGCGGGGAGCUCACCUUCAGCAGAUGAGAGGCUGUGUGGGGCUCAGUCGGGAGGCAGGUGGGUCAGGGAAGGCACCUCACCUGCAGUGUCUAGGAGGGCCUGGGGUCUGCGGCUGCCCCCACCAGAACAGUGGGCGCUCUGCCGCCCUGUCCCCAUGCAGCUUCCGGGAGCCCAGCAGGCCGAGACCUUCGUGAGGGCCUUCCUGAAGCACAACACGCCACACAUGAGCCAGCAAGCCCGCGAGGACCAGCUGCAACGCAAGGCUGUGGUCCUGGAGUACACCACUCGCCAGAAGCACAAGGAGAAGAGAAAGAAAUCCAAGGGCCUCUCUGCAGGCAGAGGAGGGAGCUGCACCUCUUUGACAUUAAGCCAGAGCAGCAGAGGUAUGCCAGGGCCUUUCUCCCAAAGGCAGCUUCCUCCUCCUGGAGUGGGUGUAGCUUUGGGAGACCCAGUUCCCCUGAAGCUAAGAGAGCUUCUCCCACUGCCACCACAAGGGGGCAGCCUCCCUUUACCAACUCAAGCUGGGUUUGCACUUGGCUUUCACAGCAAGGCACAGCCAGGCUCUUGCUCUUUGACUGUCUGGCUCCUGUCCUAGCCUUAACUAAUGUGCCCCCACCGGAAGUGAGUCUGUUACCCAUGGCAACAGGCUGUUUGUCUUUCGGCUUUCCCAGAGAGAGAGGAACUUAUGGAUCUUUGUAUAUACUCUUUAUAGCUUUUACUAGCACUAGGCAGAAUCAUCCCCUGGGUUUAUUGCCAAAGAACAUGCUGCCCGCAUGUUUCAGAAGUUUCUGAAAGGGACGCAUCACUCUGGGAGGACGUGCUCUUCCCUCCAGCUGACACUGCAUCGCUCCUUGGUCAUGCUUCUGCACAUGCUCGUCAUCGGCCGGUUUGUAGAUCUCGCUCCAAGAACUGCAGCCAAAUAGCCUCCCACAGACACAGUCAGUCACUGUGUCUGGGACCCCGCUUGCAAAGAGAGCUGCUCUGCGGGUGGAGGAAGGGGCCACUGCCUGCCCAGGUUUCCCUCGCUGGUGUCUACACAGGUAGAACGCACUUUGAGUUUGAGCCUGAGGUUUCCCAACAGUUUCCUAUAACAGGUUCCCCAUGAGGCACCAGGACCCAUAAUAAUGACCCCAGAGGAAAGCCUCUGAGAUCCUCUCACCUGGUCUCUCCCUGGCAUCCCACCACUGGCCUACCUUUCAGACACACCUGGUCCCUUACGUGGGGACGUGUAUGGCAGCCUGCAGCUCCUGUCUGCUCCCCUCAGGGUUGGCUCCUGUAGCAGAUGAUCUCAGAGAGCAAUGGUGAAGCAAGAUAUAAGUUUAGUUCAUGAAAAGCCGUCCAGAUGAGCACAUCCUGCCCCCUGGGCUGGUGUGGCAGAGACUUGGGCAGUGCUGCCCUGGGAGCACCCGGCUGCUCCCAUCUGUGCAGGGUGCCUUGUGGUGUGAGGGGUCUGCUGGAGUGCUGGCCAUCCAGGCUGCAUGUAGCCAGCAGGAAGGAUGUAGGGGCACCAGGAGGGUUCUAGCAGCGGAAACAGGUUCAGGAGGGGGACGCAGAUGUCAGUCUGUUGGGUUAUCUGCUGUGGAACUAGGAUCUGCACCCAGUUCCCCAUGACCUGGAUAGGGCUCCUUGGCAUCAGGCUGUGCUCUAUGCCCUGUUGAUGUCACAAUCCCAAGCUCAUGUCGCUUAAUUCUUUACUUCUUUCUACCUUAGCCACAGAUAGUCUUUUUCCCCCUUACAUAAACUCUGGAAGCAGUACAUCCGGGACCUGUGCGGUGGUCUCAAACCAGACACGUGAGUUGCAUGCCUGCAGUCCUGCCCUUUGGGGCAGAACCCAAGGCUUACAAUGACUGUGAAUGCAGCCUUCAGAGCCAGCUGGCUGCAGAAGUUUGUAGACCUGUGUGCCCCUUCAGAACUCUCGCUCAUGGUCAACACUGAGGCCUUCUGCUUACCUUCUAGGCAGCCGCACAUGAUUCAGAACAAGCUGUUGAAGGCAGAUCUUCACGGGGCUCUCGUUUCAGUCACGAAAUCCAAAUGCCUGUCCUAUGUGGGUGUUACAGGAAUCCUCCUACAGGAAACAGCACAUUUUCAAAAUCCUCACCGAAGAAGACCACCUGAAAGGGUGCAGACUCAAGUUUCUCUGUGAGUGGCUGUUCAUUAGUAGCCUUCUCUCCCCGCUUCCCCGAGGACACUUGACAAGAACGCUCAUCUGCCAUGAAGCUGCCACUGUGCCCGCCUGUUUCCAGGAUGCCCUGUUAUCUCCACAGCCCACCUAGGGUCACUGGGUCCUAUGCCCUGAGGACUGUGCCCCUGAGGUCCCAGGCUAGGCAGGACACUGGCUCUCAGUGAGCGUCCUAAUGAGGCCACACCAGCUGCUCCCCAGAACCAGGCUGAGGCCUCCGGCGGUGGAACAGGGCUGGCCACGUCCCCACAGCUGUGGCACAGGGCCGGUUGUGGAGGGUGCUGUGGUAGCCUGCAGUCCAGGCUCCUACCUCCACUGCCCCAGGAGCAGGACCCCAGUAGAGCUGUGGCACUGGAGAUGUAGGCCUGUGGGAGACAGCUACGUCAGCCUCACUUGUUGGUCUCACACACUGGAGGAACCAGAGAGGCCCAAGGAGCAGCAGAGUGGUGACCACCUGGGGACGGGACUCAGGAGCCGCAAGGCCAGGACGCAUCAGCCCAGGCACCCACUGUUCUCCAAAAAGUGAGUGGGCCCGUGGGCCCUUUACGUUCCCUGGAGUUGACUGCAUGUGGGGAACUGAGACUUCCUGCAGGGCCCACAGAGGACAGGCGCCUCCAGGGGAGGAAAAGGACGAAGCACCUGGAGGAGGAAGCGAGGGCAGCACGGGUCAUGGCCCCUGCGUUAGCUGGGGCUGCCCUAACCAAACUGCAGACGGGCAGUGUAAACAGAACAUCCUUCCCCACCGCUGCAGAGGCUGCAAGUCCGAGUUUAAGGUGCCCUCCUGGCUGGAGUCUGGUGAGAGCCUUCUCCUUGGCCCCUUCUUGCUGUGUCCUCGUGUGGCCUUCCUCAGUGCACACCUGCAGGGAAGGAUAGCCAUCUGGUGUCUCUUCCUCCUCUGACUGGGACACCCGUCCUGUAGGUUAGGGUUCCACUGUAUGACUCAUUUCACCGUGAUUGCCCCCUUAAAGGUUCUGUUCUCAGUGCGGUUACACUGGGGAUGAGGGCUUUGACAGAAUUUGUGGGGACAUGAUUCAGUCCAGAACAGUGGUGGAGCUGCCCACCCAGAACAGGAGCCCCUAGCAGAGCCCCUGAGAAAGGCUGCAGUAGCCAGCCUGGCUCCCGUCCUGACACUGGCCUGGCUGACCCCAGCCCUGCCUAGGUUGCUGGCACCACUAGCCGGUUCAGCUGGUCCAGCGGCUGGGCCCUGAGCUCCCCUCAACACUGGGUCCCAUGACUGGCUCAGCCAGGAGCUUAGGUCCAGCGGCCUCUCCACUGCCGGCUUCCCUCGCUUCUGCAAACCACUGAGCUCCUCCGUCACCCUCCCUUCAGGCACAGGGACAGUGGUGGGGGAGGAGACGCACACACGGGGCAGGGUGGACAGGGAGGCUCCCUGGAGGAGGGGGCUCAAUCCAGGUUGCUGUGGGAUGUGAAGAGGGACACUGAAGCUCAGGACCAGGCUGGCACUGUAUGGAGUGCAGUCAUGGAGGCCCCAGGACAACGCCUGCCCAUGAGACUCAGGGCCAGCAGGAAGGAAGGUGGGAGCGGGUGGCAGAGCUCUGGCUACCGAUCUCAAACCCAUAGGAGGUGCUUCAGGUCCUGCCUGGUUCCGUGGGAGGGGAGAGGUGUUAGAGAAGUUGUAAGCCCCUGGGACGGGGCAAGGUGGGGAAUCCUGCUGACCCGUUCGCCCAGUCCUGACAUGCUUGGGGGCCUCCGUGUCAUCAAUUGGCAAGUGGGGCCAUGAGACCAGAUGAGGGUUUCCUGAAGGGGGAUCCUGGGACUUCCAGCACAUGCAUCAAUGUCACCAGGACACCCGUUCGAAGCAGCCAGCUCCUGGGCUGCUGUCAGACUCCAGGGGCCUAGACGACUUCGUGGGUCUGUCAGACCCCAGCUGGCUCCUCCGGUCACUGAAGUGUGAGGAUCGUGGAUCCCAGAUGGUGGCGCAAGUGUCUUCCAGCUCUGACACCUGGACUGUGAUUUGAGAUUUGGGACUCUCGGGAUGGGGUUUUCCGGAUGCUGGAAAAGAUUUUCAGUGAUAGAUCUCUCAGGUUCUGAAGAGUAAACAUGAACAUUCCCCCAAAAAGCCAUAAAUUAUGGUAAAAAGCUGUCUUUCUGGACAAUGGCUUUCAUUUUAAUUUAGUUUGCGUUUCUUAGCUAUAAUGUCUAAUUAAGACAUCUGUUAAAUGUCUAUAAUAUUAAGUUGAUGGGGGGUUCUAAUAGUACUGUAUUGGAAUUGUCCAUUUAAUUAACCUCGUGGGCCUUUAAUGGAUGUCUUAAAUAGACAUCAUUAACAAGAGUGCUAGACAAAUUAAAAUUAGAGUCAAUAACAUUCUUGGUAGUUUUUCCUGAGCUGUGAAGGACGAGUGUUGCUAAGUAGACAGACGCAAAGACGGGUAUGCACAGAGGAGUGUGGGGGCUGGUGUCCCCAGCAGGGCUGCAGCACGGACGAGGCCCCAGGUCGGGCUCAGCCGUUCUGUGUCCUGGCCUCCCCUUCGUGCACCUCCCACACACGGCGCUUGCUGAGCUGUCAGAUCGAGCUCUGAUGAGGAGAAGGUAGCGAGGGAGGAAGAGGGACCCAAACCCCGGGUCUCCGCAUGGCUCGCAUUGAGAUGGAACAGACAUGAGACAGGACAGACCAGGAUGGGGCAGGCAGGGCUGGGCUGGGGGGUGGAGUGCGGUAAGAGGGGAGGAAGUGGCCCAUUUUCCCCACCACUCUGCGGAGCAGUCUCCCUCGGGUGAACUACACUCCCAAACCCAGGGCUGGGUUCCCCAUCUCCACAUCCCAGGUGGCCUCUCAGGGCGGCUGACCGUUAACCACUGCCUCCCUCCUGAGGCACCUGUGUCCCCACACUCCCUGACAGUCCCCCCCCCUCCUGGCCACUCCCUCUCUGUCCUUUCAUGGAACCUCCUCCUCCUCCUCCGAGCUUCUAAAUGUUGGAACGCCCUGAUCUCCGUCCUUGGACUCCUCACCUUUCCCCUCAGCUGGUCCCACCCACAACCCCCACACACCUGACUCAGAAGAUCAUGUUGGCAGCCCUGCUUCUCCCCCACCCCACUGCCAAAUCUGGAGCUUUGUCGUCGGCCUCCCCUAAUUCCAGUGGGAGCUCCUUUGAGCUCACGGUGGCUCUGUUUUGAUGGCUGAUGUGUCCCCAGUGAUCUAGAAGCACUCGCUGACCUGGAAUGGGUGCUCAGUGAACAUUCGCCGGGGAGUGGAAACCUCGGCUGGUUGACCAAACCCCUGGGAGUGUAACGGGCUCCUGACCUGAAGAGGCUGGGCAAGAAUCAAGGACUCUCUCCCACGAGGACGCUCCCCUUCGACCCCCAUCUCAGUGAACAGCCUCUGUCUCUCCAUUUAGGUCAGAAACGCAGGAGGCCUCCUACCCCUGCCUGGUGUUGGCGCCUGCCCCCAGCCGGUCUCUCACGAAGUGCUGGUGGCUCUCCCUUGUCUCCCCUGCGCCGGCUCUCACCCACCCUCCCACCACCCCUCGUGGCCUCCCUGCCUCCACAUGUGGCCCCACCACAGCUCAGGUGACCGUUGUGAAGCAGGACUCCAAUUGUGUCACUCUUCUCCUCAAAACCUACAAGUGACUUCCCAGUACACUUAGAACUAAACCCAGUGUCUGACCAGGGUCAUCAAGGGCCCCCCAGGACCUAAGCCCAGCCUGCCUCUCCCAGCUCCCCAGUGUCCUGCCCCCGUGCCUUCUCCACAGCUCUGUCCCACUCAGACCACUCCCACCUUCCCGGGACCUGUGAGCACAAGGCAGCCCCCUGCUCUGCACUCAGCUCUACACCGCUGGCCGGCCUCCCUCUCAGCAGUCCCCCAGCGGUCCCUUAGCAUGUGACCUCAUUUCACACUGGACACAGCGCCUGUCAGUAACCUUCCCUGCUGGGUCAUUGUCGUUUUCUUCCAGCAGAACGUACGCGUCAUGAACUCCAAGACUUGGCCUGGCUCGUCCACCCCUGAACCCCUUGUCCCUCAGUGCCCUCUAGAGCACUGCCCUCCACGUAGUAAGUGUUCCAUUAAAUACUAGUCUGACAGCGAGCCGAGGGUGUGGCCCUAAUGGUGGCUAAGGGUGGCCACACCCAGCCAUGGUGACCCCCAUCUGGCCCCUACAGACGCCUUCCCCCACUGUGGCUUUCCACAGCAGAACAGCACCGCGUCCUGUGACCCCCAGGCCAUCCCAGCCUUUCAGGCAGGCAGGUGCCCCAGACAGCAGCAGUGCCUGGACACCGUGUGGGUCCUUCUCGCAUCCCAGCCAGGUGAGAGCUUACACACUGCGGGCAGCUGUGACCUGCAGCAGGCGUGGCAAAACCCCUCUGUCAUCUCCAACUUUACCUGGACCCAAGGUUCAGGGGGAGGCAGGCGGGGCUGGUGCUGGGCAACCCGGCCUGGAGUCCCUGAGCUCAAUCAGGAGCCUGGCACUCAGGAAACCCAAGUUCAAAGUCAAAUUACUCUUGACUUUCAUUUUUAACCACAAGGGACAAGGCUGAGUGUGGUGUUUACAGUAGAUUCAUUGAAUCUGCAGGAAUUAAACUGCAGCCCCUGUCAGGGCGGGGGGGGGGGGGGAGCUGCGGGUGCCUGCCCCCCUGUUCCGGGGACAUCCGCCUUGUGGUGGCUGAGGAGGAGAAGCACCCCUAGUUGCUCUUCAUCUCCCUGGAAGGGGUGUGAGCAGAACGCAGUUCCUAGUUA